GGGACCCGAUGCCAUUCUGGAGAUUUAUUAGUGAAUCCUUCAUCUGCAAGACAAGAAACACCUCCAGUGUGCUGCUACCCUGGGAUUUCCUUCCUCAUUGGUGCCUCCUCCAUCCAUUGAUUCUCCCCUUGACUUCAGCUCCCAUGAGAUGACAGAGAAACCAUCUGAACAGCCCUUGGGACCUCCUGCCCAGCCCAGUGUCAGAAGAUGGACUUUAAAGGGAGAUGGGAGCGGAGGUGAUGCACCCGAUGGGCUGCAGUGGUCCAGGCCUAAUCAAUCCUCCAGUUGGAAGCACUCAAGACACUGAUGAGAAGAUCCCCAGGACUGGCUGCUCUGAGCUGCCAAUCAGGGGUUCAAGCAGGUGAAAGCAAUGUGCCUGGAGAGCAGGUGGAGCUUUCUUGGGCCAAGCUGAGGAUAAAUCUCCAUGGAGCAUAAAAGCCGUGAGGAGGAGCAGAGUUCAGGCAGCUGCAGGAAGACUUCAGGGCAUAUCAGGGUGAUUUCUGCAUGCUUUUCCCUGGAGAGAGAUUUAUCAUCACCUUGAGCCAAUCAUUGCCUGGUGUGCUGCAGUCUUGUUGCUGUAAGCAGCAACCUGUCCUUGUGAUCUUCCCAACAGGAGCUUGAGUGCUUGCAACUGGCCUGCUCAACCAGCUCCAAAGGUGGAUAUAAAGCAAUGACACUUCAAGCACAACUACAACAAGCUACUGCAGUUUUAAAAUGGAUGCACUGUCCAUCUCUAAUAAAUACUUCUAAUAACA